UGACUUCAGAGCUGAACACAGUGGGAAUUAUUACUGUGAAGUCCAGAACAGAAGAGGACGUCAUAACUCCACCUUACAUCUGACUGUUGUAGGGAGUGCAAGGAAUUCAGCAAUUAUAGGAACAAUCUCUGCCAUUCUUCUGGCUGUCAUACUCCUGGCUGUCUUUCUAUGGAUUAGACGAAAUAAAUCCUUUACACAACAGGCACAGGGUGGAGCGAGACACGACAACACAGGACAGCAAAACAUGGGUCCAGUGUAUGACAGCCCUUCAGAUGCAGCACAGAGACAAGCAGCAGAACAGCAGGAUGACCUUAACUACGCCAGCAUCUGCUUCUCUCAGAACCAUGAAGAUGCUCUCUACUCCAACAUCAGGCCAGCUCAGCCCCACAGACCAAGAGAGGAAGAGGACGAGGAGGAUAGUGUUGAUUACACCACUGUCAAACAUGACAGUGCCCCGGGAUGUCAAGAAGAGGGGGAGGACUCAUUUGCACUGUACAGCACAGUCAACAAAAACAAUGUGAAUGCAACAUGAAUCUCUGGUCUGUUGGAUAAAUGUAGAUUUUUUACACACCUUAUUUAAGAAACCAAACAAGCAUAGUUUUCACAACUCACAUAUCUUGUUAUUUUUGAUUGUUGUCUCAAUGCUGCACUUUGCUGUGUCUGUCCUAAGGAAUACACAGGAUUCCUAACCUCAGUGUUGCCACCUUCUUAACUACAUCCACAUUAUACGUUUUCGUUUUAAAACGCAGACUUUUUGCUACGUCUGCACCUCCCGUCCAGAGUAAAAUGGUCAAGGAGAUCAUUUUCAUUUUCAAACUUUUUAUAAUAAAAAUAAAAUAACUUUGGUCCCAACACUGACCCCUGGGGUACACCACAAGCCAUGCCCAGACAUUCAGAUGAAUAAUCUCCCAUCUUCACAAAUUGUUGUAUGUCUCUCAGAUAACUACUUACCCAGUUUAGAAUUACCCCCCUGAUCGUUCCAGUUUACUGAUUAAGAUUUCAUGAUUUAUUGUAUCAAAUGCUUUUUGAGAUCAAUGAAUACCCCAACUGCAUAUUUCUAUUUGUCUGUGGAGUUUGUGAUUUCUUCAAUGAGUUCUGUUAUGAACUCAGAUCCAUAUUGGCUAUCAGUGAGUAGUUUGUUUUUAUCAAUGAAUUUCUCUGAUCUGUUGUUAAAUUAUUUUUCAAAAAUUUUGAAAAUUGUGGCAGUAGAGAGACAGACCUGUAAUUUGUAAAGUGGUGUUUAUUUCCAGUUUUGUAUAGAGGAAUGACUUUUGCUAUUUUCAUUUUUGUUGGAAAUUGACCGGUUAGAAAUGAUAAAUUGCAGAUGUUCGUUAGUAGUUUGGCGAUCCCCUGUAUUACUGUUUGUAUAAUUUUUAUGUCUAUUCCAUUGUGAUCAGUGGAUGGUUUGUUUUUAAAUUCUUUAACAAUAUCUAUUAUUUCUUUUUCAUCUACUGCUGUCAGAAAUGUUGAACUGGGAAUUCUUUCUAUUAGAUUAUUAUAUCUAAUUUCUAAUGUUUGUGGAACCGGGAUUUUUUCAGCUAAGUUUGGUCACACAUUUGCAAAAAAUUUACAAUUAACCACACCCUCCAUGUUAUUAAUAUUUUUAUCAUUAUCAAUGAAGUAAUGGGGAUAAGUAGCCUGUCUAC